rnacentral:rRNA from 1 species
AUACAUGCAAGUCGAGCGAGGCAGCAAGUGCCGAGCGGCGAACGGGUGAGUAACGCGUAAGCAAUCUGCCCCAUAUCAGGAAAUACCCGGUGCCAACGCGCGGUUAAUGUCCAGGAGAGUGGCCCCCUGCGAUGGAGGGUUGACUAGAGAUUUUAUCGGUGUGGGAUGAGCUUGCGUCCGAUUAGCUAGUUGGCGGGGCAACGGCCACCAAGGCGACGAUCGGUAGCCGGCCUGAGAGGGUGAUCGGCCACAUUGGGACUGAGAUACGGCCCAGACUCCUACGGGGAGGCAGCAGUAGGGGAAUAUUGCACGAAUGGGGGAAACCCUGAUGCAGCAACGCCAACCGUGUGGGAAGAAGCAUUUCGGUGUGUAAACCACUGUCAUGAGGGAAUAAGGCCCGCCUUCGGACGGGAUUGAAUGUACCUUGAGAGGAAGCACCGGCAAACUUCGUGCCAGCCGCCGC